rnacentral:rRNA from 1 species
CCUACGGGUGGCAGCAGUGAGGAAUAUUGGUCAAUGGACGAGAGUCUGAACCAGCCAAGUAGCGUGAAGGAUGACUGCCCUAUGGGUUGUAAACUUCUUUUAUAUGGGAAUAAAACGUUCCACGUGUGGGAUUUUGUAUGUACCAUAUGAAUAAGGAUCGGCUAACUCCGUGCCAGCAGCCGCGGUAAUACGGCGGAGCCGCGCGUUAUCCGGAUUUAUUGGGUUUAAAGGGAGCGUAGGUGGAUUGUUAAGUCAGUUGUGAAAGUUUGCGGGUCAACCGUAAAAUUGCAGUUGAAACUGGCAGUCUGAAGUACAGUAGAGGUGGGCGGAAUUCGUGGUGUAGCGGGGAAAUACUUAGAUAUCACGAAGAACUCCGAUUGCGAAGGCAGUUCACUGGACUGCAACUGACACUGAGGCUCGAAAGUGUGGGUAUCAAACAGGAAUAGAUACCCUAGUAGUC